rnacentral:rRNA from 1 species
CCUACGGGUGGCAGCAGUGGGGAAUAUUGGACAAUGGGCGAAAGCCUGAUCCAGCCAUGCCGCGUGUGUGAAGAAGGCCUUCGGGUUGUAAAGCACUUUCAGUGGGGAAGAAAGCCUUGGGGCUAAUACCCUCGAGGAAGGACAUCACCCACAGAAGAAGCACCGGCUAACUCCGUGCCAGCAGCCGCGGUAAUACGGAGGGUGCGAGCGUUAAUCGGAAUUACUGGGCGUAAAGCGCGCGUAGGCGGUCUGAUAAGCCGGUUGUGAAAGCCCCGGGCUCAACCUGGGAACGGCAUCCGGAACUGUCAGGCUAGAAUGCAGGAGAGGAAGGUAGAAUUCCCGGUGUAGCGGUGAAAUGCGUAGAGAUCGGGAGGAAUACCAGUGGCGAAGGCGGCCUUCUGGACUGACACUGACGCUGAGGUGCGAAAGCGUGGGUAGCAAACAGGAUUAGAUACCCGAGUAGUC